UUCACCAGUGACAGGACUGAGGGGGGGAGCAGCUGCCCAGGCUGUGAAGCUAAUGAAAACACAUAUGGGGGGAGACACGGUGGGGGCAUGUUCAAAACAUGGCAGUAGAACGCUGUGCACUUGGGAGCUGCAAAGGGACCAGGCCAACUCCUCCUCCACAACCCCACGGACUGUGUGCUGAGCUCUCCUUUACAGAGAAACCAGGACAAGCUGUCAGAGGUCCCUGUGUAUGGAAUGGGUUAUUUAUAAGAAGACACAGAGGACAAAUCCAUGCAAAGCCCAGUCACCAGGAAUCAUACGUCAUGUUUUCAGAAGGAUCCCAGAUUCUCAAGCAUCAUUAAAAUCACUGCAAAGGAGAAAACAAAGGCUCCGAAGGAAAAUGAUAAAAGGAACCCAGAGGAAGUGGACUGUGAAGCAACAACCAGAAGUAUCCCAAGAUUCAGUAGGUCCCCUCUCGGAGUCAGUUCAUUAUUAUCUGGAAGCCAGACAAUCCAUCUUCCCUGCCUGUCUCUGCUCUAGACUCAGAAGGCCUCUGAGGAGGUGCUUAGAACAUGAAGGUCACUGGGAAGGUUGACCAGAGACCCAGGAUGAGAAGGAAAUGUGUCACUAAGUCUUCAGCUGCUUUCCUUUAGGUUGCCACACCAAUGGCUUUCUGAAAACAUCUCCUGCAAAGCCAGCUCCACAGAACUCCCAUCUUCAAUAAGAAACUAGAGCCUCAUCCAAAACCAAUGACAGCAAUGAUUAACAGUUUAAGGAGAACAAAAUGAACAAUAAUCUGCUAACUUGCAAUUAUAUUUUCAGACAUUUUCAUAAUUUACUAAACUAAUUUCCAAGGCUGAGCUAUAUUCAUAUUAAAAAACCACUAUGUCUAACAGAAUUGCAUAUAUUUUUGUGGCUUAUGAUACAAUAACAUACUCUGUAACUUGUUUCAUUUUACUCUUAA